rnacentral:rRNA from 1 species
UUUGAUGGCGACCGGCGCACGGGUGAGUAGCACGUAUCCAACCUGCCGAUGACUCGGGGAUAGCCUUUCGAAAGAAAGAUUAAUACCCGAUGGCAUAGUUCUUCCGCAUGGUAGAACUAUUAAAGGAUUUCGGUCAUCGAUGGGGAUGCGUUCCAUUAGGUUGUUGGCGGGGUAACGGCCCACCAAGCCUUCGAUGGAUAGGGGUUCUGAGAGGAAGGUCCCCCACAUUGGAACUGAGACACGGUCCAAACUCCUACGGGAGGCAGCAUG